ACGGGAGGCAGCAGUGGGGAAUAUUAGGCAAUGGGGGCAACCCUGACCUAGCAACGCCGCGUGAAGGAAGAAGGCCUUCGGGUUGUAAACUUCUUUUAUAGGGGCCGAAACAAAUGACGGUACCCUAUGAAUAAGCCACGGCUAACUACGUGCCAGCAGCCGCGGUAAUACGUAUGUGGCAAGCGUUGUCCGGAUUUACUGGGUGUAAAGGGCGCGUAGGCGGGAUGACAAGUCAGAUGUGAAAUCCAUGGGCUCAACCCAAGAACUGCAUUUGAAACUGCCAUUCUUGAGGAUCGGAGAGGAAAGCGGAAUUCCUAGUGUAGCGGUGAAAUGCGUAGAUAUUAGGAGGAACACCAGUGGCGAAGGCGGCUUGCUGGACGAAAACUGACGCUGAGGCGCGAAGGUGUGGGGAGCAAACAGGAUUAGAUACCCUGGUA
rnacentral:rRNA from 1 species